UACGGAGGAUGCAAGCGUUAUCCGGAAUGAUUGGGCGUAAAGCGUCCGCAGGUGGCUAUGUAAGUCUGCUGUUAAAGAGUCUAGCUCAACUAGAUAAGAGCAGUGGAAACUACAAGGCUAGAGUACGUUCGGGGCAGAGGGAAUUCCUGGUGUAGCGGUGAAAUGCGUAGAGAUCAGGAAGAACACCAGUGGCGAAGGCGCUCUGCUAGGCCGUAACUGACACUGAGGAGCGAAAGCAUGGGGAGCGAACAGG
rnacentral:rRNA from 1 species